rnacentral:rRNA from 1 species
UGACAGGUGGUGCAUGGUUGUCGUCAGCUCGUGUCGUGAGAUGUUGGGUUAAGUCCCGCAACGAGCGCAACCCUCGCCGGAUGUUGCCAGCGUUAAGUCGGGCACUCUUCCGGGACUGCCUGAGUAAUCAGGAGGAAGGAGAGGACGACGUCAAAUCUGCAUGCCCCUUACGCCCUGGGCUGCACACGUGCUACAAUGGCGGGUACAAAGGGUUGCUAAGCCGCGAGGCGGAGCUAAUCCCCCAAAACCCGUCCCAGUUCGGAUCGGAUGUCUGCAACUCGACUCCGUGAAGUUGGAAUCGCUAGUAACCGUGGAUCAGCAAUGCCACGGUGAAUACGUUCCCGGGCCUUGUACACACCGCCCGUCAAGUCACGAAAGCCGGCAGCACCCGAAGUCCAUCUCUGAUGGCCGAAGGUGAGGCCGGUGAUUGGGACU